GACGAACGCUGGCGGCGUGCUUAACACAUGCCAGUCGAACGGAAAGGCCCUGCUUUUGUGGGCUGCUCGAGUGGCGAACGGGUGAGUAACACGUGAGUAACCUGCCCUUGACUUUGGGAUAACUUCAUGAAACUGGGGCUAAUACCGGAUAGGAGCUCUUGCUGCAUGGUGGGCGUUGGAAAGUUUCGGCGGUUGGGGAUGGACACGCGGCUUAUCAGCUUGUUGGUGGGGUAGUGGCUUACCAAGGCCUUGACGGGUAGCCGGCCUGGGAGGGUGACCGGCCACACUAGGACGGAGAUACGGCCCAGACUCCAACGGGAGGCAGCAGUGGAGAGUAUUGCACAGUAGGAGGGAGCCUGGUGCGGCAACGCCGCGUGCGGGAUGACGGCCUGCGGGUUGUAAACCGCUUUCGCCUGUGACGAAGCGUGAAUGACGGUAAUGGGUGAAGAAGCACCGGCUAACUACGUG
rnacentral:rRNA from 1 species